ensembl:lncRNA LINC02109 long intergenic non-protein coding RNA 2109
AUGCAAUAAGAGGAUUAGAAUAUUCAGCCCCACCCCAUGACUUCCAGAGACAGAGGAAAGGCUGAAGGUUGAGUUGAUUACCAGUAGCUCACGAUAUAAUCAUUCAUGCCUACAUAACACAGCUUUCAUAAGAACCCAAUAGGACAGGGUUCAAGGACCCUCUAAAGAAUGCCACACCUAUAGAGGCAUGGAAACUCUUUGCCACUUUCAUCUGACUAUUGAUCUAUAUCCUUUGUAAUGCCUCUUAUAAGAAAUGGGCAGAUUCUAGCAGUGUUUGUGAGAAAAACUGAUGGAUCCUGCAGAUUAACUAUGGACAGCCAAAUAUUGAGUAAAGUGAUGUCUACAACAGCAUCAGCUAUGCCUGAUAUGGUGUUAAUUCACAUUGUGAAGUCCUCAAUAGGAAAAAGAUGCCUCCCUGGUCGACCUUCCUGGAAAGUAUGCAUAUCAUUACUGCUUAGAUUUUGUUGGAGAGAAAUCACACUACCAUCAAAGACAACGGGUCAAAAAGAAUGCCGUCCUAAGCUGAGAAGCCAUCUUCCUAACGACAGCCAUGUAAUAUGAAAGGGAAAAACACACUGUUAUUGAAGAACUUAUCAGCUAUGUCACAUCUUCCACACAAAUACUCAGGAAAGUUAAAAGAAAAUUUUACCUCGGACACAGUUGAUGUACCUCAGUCUUGUACAAAACUUAGAACUCACUAAGUCUGAAAUAAGACUUUAAACUCUCUCUGAGGUGAAGUUGUAAUACAGUGAGAAUGAUAAUAUAUAGUAUAUUAGGAUUUACUUACUCCUGUGUUGUUCUGGACUAUAGACUGCCACACAUAUCAGAUGCACAUGACUGACAUGUAUAUCUUCAUUUUGCUAUUAUUUGUGGUGAACUAAUACAGGAUUUACUGUAAAAGUAUAAUAAUGCAGUAGCAAUAUACUAAUAAAUCAAUGCAGUUAAUAUACAAGUGCUGCUUAUAAGUUACUGUGUAUUCAUCAAAGCCACAGAAUUUGCAAAUGAAAUAAUCUAUUACAUAGUCUACAGCUUGUGAAACUAAAAUUGUUUAAAUUUAAGUGCAAAUUCAUUAAAACUUCACUUAAACAAGCA